CCAACCCUGCUCACCUCUCAGCUGGACAGUAAGGGACGUUUACAACACACACUGACAACAUGCUGGGGACCCUCUGCACUCUCAUCACUGCUCUAACAUAUGUUGAUGCAGCCAAAGUGCUGACCCAGACGCCUGCUGUCCACACAGUUUCUACAGGACAAGAGGCUGUUCUCAACUGCAACAUUCAGAGAGAUGAUGGACAGUAUGUUAGCUGGUAUAAACAGGUUCCUGGUGAAGCUCCUCAGUUUGUUCUGAGAUUUCACCAUUCUCACAGUUCACCAGACAGCUAUGGAUCAGGAUUCUCCUCAGACCGAUUCAACUCUAAAUCCUCAUCAAACAUAGAUUACCAGUUCAUCAUAAAGCGGACAGAGACAGAAGACUCUGCUGUCUAUUACUGUCUAACAUGGGAUAACUCUGCCAAGGAGUACAUAUCACAGUGAUUCACACCAUGACAAAAACCUCAGUGAGAGAGUCACCACAUAUUUUAUAAAUUCUGACCAAAAUGAAAGAACUUUAAUAUAUAAACAUGUAACAAAACAAGAACAGACAAUGAAUGAAAUCCAAUAAAGACAAAUGAGUGGUUUGAAACAAGUCCAGCAGUGUUUUGGAAUAUAAUGAGACUGAUGAAGUGAAGAGAUGUUGACAGUGAAAGUUGGUCUCAACAGGAUGUUUCAGUUCCACUCCCCUCAUUAGUGAGA